rnacentral:rRNA from 1 species
AGCAGCCGCGGUAAUUCCAGCUCCAAUAGCGUAUAUUAAAGUUGUUGCAGUUAAAAAGCUCGUAGUUGAAUUUCGGGAUUGACACAUCGGUCGUGCCUUAAGGGGUAUGAACUGGUGUAGUCAGUUUCUCACCUUCUGGAGAACCGCGAUGUCCUUAAUUGGGUGCCGCGGGGAACCAGGACCUUUACUUUGAAAAAAUUAGAGUGUUUAAAGCAGGCAUUUUGCUUGAAUACAUUAGCAUGGAAUAAUAAAAUAGGACGGAUGGUUCUAUUUUGUUGGUUUCUAGGAUCACCGUAAUGAUUAAUAGGGAUAGUUGGGGGCAUUAGUAUUCAAUUGUCAGAGGUGAAAUUCUUGGAUUUAUUGAAGACUAACUACUGCGAAAGCAUUUGCCAAGGAUGUUUUCAUUAAUCAAGAACGAAAGUUAGGGGAUCGAAGACGAUCAGAUACCGUCGUAGUCUUAACCAUAAACUAUGCCGACUAGGAAUCAGACGAUGUUAAUUUUUUAAUGACUCGUUUGGCACCUUACG